UUUUUUGUUUUUUAUUUUUUUAUUAUUUUUUAAAUAUUUUAUUUAUUCAUGAAAGACAGAGAGAGACAGAGACAGAGACACAGGCAGAGGGAGAAGCAGGCUCCAUGCAGGGAGCCCGGUCACUUAGAUUUGGAAGGGUAGGAUGUCAACGACCAAGGAAUCGAGAUUUUGCUCAAGUUCCCAAAUUCGCUAUCAGUAUCAAGUGAUAGUUUCAAAGUGCAUUUAUUUUUGUUAAACAUUUGUCCAAGUUAAACAUUAGUAUGUUUUUUAACUGAAAUGUGAAAAAUGAAAUGUGUACAGGAAAGACUGUCUUUAUAUGCUGUUCUCCAUACCAACCCAUUCCAUUUCUCCUCACUCAGAGAACCUACUUGAGUCUCUUCCAGUGCUUUCCCUGCAUAUCCAUGUGGACAUGUUGGUAUGUAUGCAGAAAUGGACAUUUUAUAAACAUAAAUGAUACAUACAUAGUUUUUGGUAGCAAAUGAGUUCAUGUGUGUAUUUUUUUCUUAAACCUGUCUAUUGCUUUAAAACUAAAAGGAAGAGCUCCCAAGGAUGGGAAGAAUAGCAUGAAGGGUGGGGAGACACAGAGGUGGACAGAUGGCUUGCCUCUAUGCUCAAAAUAUCUCAUGAAUACAUAGGCAUAUUUCAUGUCCAUGACACACAAAGCUCCUUAAAUUUAGCAGCGGAAGAUUAAGUGCAGAAUCUUGGAUUUUGACUUCUUUUUUAAUAGUCUUCUUUGUUGCUAAUGUUGAAAAUGAAACCAUGGAGAGCUUCAUUUGAGGGACAUCAAUAAUAUUCAAUUUCAGUUUUCAUUAGGAACUUGGGAAAGGAGGACUUAUUUCCAUAUGACUUUAUUUUAAUAGUAAGUUUUGGUUUUCGGAAGGUGUGAGGUUGAAAGUAGUUACAGCCAGGGAGGAGAAAGAGAGCAGCUUAAUUUUAGUCAUCUCCUUUCCACACUCUGGCUCUGCUAAGCAAGGUGAUUGCCCUACACAGCCCACUCGGAUGCUGCAAAUAUCUUCAGAUGUGGCAAGCCUUACCCUAGCACUGUAGUAACAUGCCUUCGACAAAGUAUUAAAAGCUUCAACAAGAUGGCAUCAGAGUAUAAUGAGGUUUACUAGUUUUCUAGAAAAAUGAAACACCUUUUGAAAGGAUGUAUAGAAGAUGAAGAAAGAUCUGUCCUGCAUAGAAGAGGCUUUCAGCAUUCAGGUUAAAAAGGAACUCAGGUUCAAAAGACUUUAGAGGAUUUUUCUAUGAACCAAAUGAUUAGAGAUUGAUAUCUCAUCAUGCACUCUAUUGAAACAGGGAAGGUUAUAGAAGGGCAGUUUUGAGAAAGGGCAAGAGAAUUUCAAACAAGAAUAAGCAACAUUCUAUUAUUACAGAUACAGUCAUUACUAAAGAACUGGAGGUGUUAUUAAUCAUGUUACACUGAAAGAAAUGAGCAAUGGAUUUGGAGAUGAUUGUGAGCUAUUACCUGUGGAGAUCAGAAAAGAGAGAUAUUUAAAUCAUUUUACUAAAAAGAUCCAAAAGUGAAAACUACCUUAGAAUUUAAGGACACUCAAGGGAGAGAUAAAGAAUGCAUGAAUCCAUGUUUUUAAGGAGAGGUUGGGGACAUCGGUGACUUUUGCCAACUGCUUGAAGACCUAUGAUGGCCUACACCUCAGAUGCACACAGUGAAAUGAUCGCUCAAGCAAGAUAGUACCGAUUGAUCUCUUUCUCUCCUUUAUUCCCAUGUAUGUGGCUAAAAGAGCUUAGUAAUUAAUAAACUCAAGAUUGGUAAUUCUCAUUUUCAUCAUCAAUAUCGGUCACCACACAUACUGGGAACAUUAAAGAAAUAUGACAAACAAUUGAUUUGAGUUUUAAUGAUGUGUUGCUUGAGAGGGGCUAUUUCUCUGUUCCCAGGUAGGGCUGGGAUACCCUCUGCCUGCCAUAGUAACAUGAAUUCUUAUUCUGAACCCAUGGACGGCUGUGGUUACCCCAAAAAAGAAAUACAACACAUAUUCGUUUUCCUUAAAAUAAAAAGAUAACAUUAUUAAAACCCAGAAGGCUUACACUUACUGGUCACUUAUCACUGUCCAAUUAAAAUACAAUUUAGAGAACAUUUUGAAUACAUUAAAAUUCCUAAGUACAAGGAGGUGUCCCUUGAAACCUGGGACCCUACACUUAUAUUGCCCCACCCCCAUUGUCACCCAAGAUUCUUACUGCAUCGGUCUAGGGCUUUACGCUGGUGAGUGCAUGCUUAAAUAUUCCUCCAGGAGAUUUCAAUAUGGAUUCAUCUCAUCACCACAACCAAAUGAAAACUACCAUUUCAAUGCUUCAGUAUAGUGUAAUUGUAAAGAGAAAUAAAAAAUGCCUCCGUGUAUGAUCACGCCCCAGUUCACACACUUAACCAUCUAUACUAAUUUUUGUUUACUCUUCUAAAUCCCGAAACUCUCUUUCCAGGGGCAACCACUUUCUCCUGCUUUGUGAGCACUGAAUUCUCUUUAAUUCUCUUCUCUUGACCACAUAUGGGGUCACAUGACCCAGCCCCAUCCAAGCAGUUUAUUCUAUUCCUCCGGCCAGACUGACUCAAAAUGAGCCAGAGAAAGUACCCUCCAGGAUUUUCUGCCACAGCCACUAAGAGGGCAAGUGUAACUUUUUCCCCUACAGAUGUUAAGCUGGUAAAAUGUGUCUUGAGCAGGUGUAAAUGUGUCCUACCUGCUAUUUUCUGGAUCCAAACAUUCUAGAAUUUUCAACUAUGUUUACCCUGGCUUGAGUUGGGUUCCUAUUACUGACAAAUAAAAAGGCCCAACAAACAAGUCAGAUCGUAUUAGGUGAUUGCUUAAAUUCUUUGGCUUAUUUUCUUCACCUGUAGAACUGAGAUAAUGGCAUCCACCAUGCCCACCAACUAGGGAAAUGAGACCUCAUUUCAGAUGCAAAGUAUUUAUUAUCUUAUAAUAGAUUUUCCAAAUGAUAAAUUUCAUAUACAUUCCUUGAAAAUAACUAUUUAAUUCAGACAGUCAUCCAAACUAAUUACUUAGUAUUAUAUAAAAAUGUCUUGUGUUAUAUUUCUUAAUCAUUAAGAAGUUAUUCUAUUGUCAUGUAAAUAUUGCUUAUCAGCAUACAAAGCAAAAACUUCAAUUUAUAAGCCAAUUAUUAAUAACAAUGAAUACUUUUCUUCAGCCACUGAACAGCUUAAUCAUAUUAAUAGUUAUAUGUUAAUAGCUCUCGCCUCCACUACAAAAAUUAUAUUUUAAACUUCUAAUUUUCUGGUACAAUAUGUAUCAGUCCCUCACAAAUUUAUCAAUCACCUGGUAAUCAUGUAAAAUGCAGAUUCAGAUUCAGUAGGUCUAGAGUUGGGCCUGAGAUACGGCAUUUCUUUUCUUUUUGUUUUUUCCUGAUUUUAUUGAGCUAUAAUUCACAUAUAACAUUGUGUAAGUUUAAGGUGUACAAUAUGAUUUGAUAUAUAUAUAUAUAUAUAUUGUGAAAUGAUUACCAGGUUAGGAUUAGUUAACACGUCCAUCACCUCACCUCACAUAAUUACCUUUGUGUGUGUAUAUGUGCGUGCGUGCAUGCGUGUGUGUGUGUGUGUGUGUGGUUAAGAUUUAAGAUUUACAGAAUACCUGGGUGGCUCAGUGGUUGAGUGUCUGCCUUUGGCUCAGGUCAUGAUCCUGAGAUCCUGGGAUUGAGUCCUGCAUCAGGUUUUCCUCAGGGAGCCUGCUUUUCUCUCUGCCUCUGCCUAUGUCUCUGACUCUUUCUCUCUCUGUCUCUCAUGAAUAAAUAAAUUAAAUCUUUAAAAAAAAAAA
rnacentral:lncRNA from 1 species